UUUAUGGAGAGUUUGAUCCUGGCUCAGGAUGAACGCUGGCGGCGUGCCUAAUACAUGCAAGUCGAGCGAACGGACGAGAAGCUUGCUUCUCUGAUGUUAGCGGCGGACGGGUGAGUAACACGUGGAUAACCUACCUAUAAGACUGGGAUAACUUCGGGAAACCGGAGCUAAUACCGGAUAAUAUUUUGAACCGCAUGGUUCAAAAGUGAAAGACGGUCUUACUGUCACUUAUAGAUGGAUCCGCGCUGCAUUAGCUAGUUGGUAAGGUAACGGCUUACCAAGGCAACGAUGCAUAGCCGACCUGAGAGGGUGAUCGGCCACACUGGAACUGAGACACGGUCCAGACUCUUACGGGAGGCAGCAGUAGGGAAUCUUCCGCAAUGGGCGAAAGCCUGACGGAGCAACGCCGCGUGAGUGAUGAAGGUCUUCGGAUCGUAAAACUCUGUUAUUAGGGAAGAACAUAUGUGUAAGUAACUGUGCACAUCUUGACGGUACCUAAUCAGAAAGCCACGGCUAACUACGUGCCAGCAGCCGCGGUAAUACGUAGGUGGCAAGCGUUAUCCGGAAUUAUUGGGCGUAAAGCGCGCGUAGGCGGUUUUAAGUCUGAUGUGAAAGCCCACGGCUCAACCGUGGAGGGUCAUUGGAAACUGGAAAACUUGAGUGCAGAAGAGGAAAGUGGAAUUCCAUGUGUAGCGGUGAAAUGCGCAGAGAUAUGGAGGAACACCAGUGGCGAAGGCGACUUUCUGGUCUGUAACUGACGCUGAUGUGCGAAAGCGUGGGGAUCAAACAGGAUUAGAUACCCUGGUAGUCCACGCCGUAAACGAUGAGUGCUAAGUGUUAGGGGGUUUCCGCCCCUUAGUGCUGCAGCUAACGCAUUAAGCACUCCGCCUGGGGAGUACGACCGCAAGGUUGAAACUCAAAGGAAUUGACGGGGACCCGCACAAGCGGUGGAGCAUGUGGUUUAAUUCGAAGCAACGCGAAGAACCUUACCAAAUCUUGACAUCCUUUGACAACUCUAGAGAUAGAGCUUUCCCCUUCGGGGGACAAAGUGACAGGUGGUGCAUGGUUGUCGUCAGCUCGUGUCGUGAGAUGUUGGGUUAAGUCCCGCAACGAGCGCAACCCUUAAGCUUAGUUGCCAUCAUUAAGUUGGGCACUCUAAGUUGACUGCCGGUGACAAACCGGAGGAAGGUGGGGAUGACGUCAAAUCAUCAUGCCCCUUAUGAUUUGGGCUACACACGUGCUACAAUGGACAAUACAAAGGGCAGCGAAACCGUGAGGUCAAGCAAAUCCCAUAAAGUUGUUCUCAGUUCGGAUUGUAGUCUGCAACUCGACUACAUGAAGCUGGAAUCGCUAGUAAUCGUAGAUCAGCAUGCUACGGUGAAUACGUUCCCGGGUCUUGUACACACCGCCCGUCACACCACGAGAGUUUGUAACACCCGAAGCCGGUGGAGUAACCUUUUAGGAGCUAGCCGUCGAAGGUGGGACAAAUGAUUGGGGUGAAGUCGUAACAAGGUAGCCGUAUCGGAAGGUGCGGCUGGAUCACCUCCUUUCU
rnacentral:rRNA from 1 species